CCAACAGAGACGGGCACCGUGACGCAUUCUGCAAAAACGUUUCUGCAGCAUUACACGACAAGCAGUUUGAUGGCCGCAUGAAUUUGGUAGGAGGGGAAAUGGCUUCCCGGUGUCCUGUCCUGGCAUUCAACCUCCUCCGCUCUGCUGCACGCCACAG
rnacentral:lncRNA from 1 species